rnacentral:lncRNA from 1 species
GCGCUCGCUCCCUCUGCGGCUCACGGCGUCCUAGGCAUGAUGUCAUCGCACCCCAGCACCCGGUGGCCGCUCCCAGGGUGCCCCGCGCCCCUUCCCUUGGCUCUCGAGCCCCCAAGUUCGCCGCACCACAGGACCGCGCACCCCGCCCCAGCCGCUAGCGGAUAUACAGACAAGUUCGCUCCCAACUCUGUGCACGCGGGGAGAGCGCGACACCCGGGGCUCGGCGACCCGAGACGGCCUAGCGGAGGAGCAGAGACCAGGUCUGUCGGCACCGAGUCACUUUUGUCUGAACACAGUACCUAAGGGACAGAGCGUGCUGUGGCGUUUUCUCCCGCCUGCCAAAGGCUCCGGCUCAGGCAACGUCUUACAUCUUUGAUGCUGAUGAAAGGCGCCUGCCUCCUUGUGUGGUAAUACAUCAUUUGACGAUGCUCGUAUCUGCUGUACUUUAUAAUAAACUUACUUUCAACUUUUUUAAAUCAUUGUGUGGCUCUUCUGUUCGUGCAGAUCCAAAUCUCAUAUUUCUGUGGCCACAACCUGUAUGUGGCUCCUUGCUGUUACAAAUUGGCAUCACAAACAGGAUUCCCCCAAGGCAGAAUGCCACUUUUUAAGAAAUCUGAUGUUGAGCUGGGGAUUUAGCUCAGUGGUUCCGGCGCCUGUCUCGAAAAUACAAGGUUCAUAGUUCGAUCUCUGGUACCAAAAAAAAAAGAAAGAAAUCUGAUGUUAGCUGGUAUGAUAUUCUGGGUUGAGAAAAUUUGCUGUACUCACAGCUUGCUAAAAAAUGGAUAUUAGGACAGGACUGUGUGAGAAUUAAAAUAGAUUCAUAAUGGUAAACCGCCACAGCUCACAGAGGCUUUGGGAGCAUACAGCUGGAGAGAGAAAAAGAACCAGCUUGUACAGGAGAGGAGGCAAAGGGACGCCACAGCAGCGACUUAACCCAGGAGACUGGGCCAGCUCCAGUCCGGUCCGUUGAGACCCAACCCUUGAAGAGCCGCCCCUUCCCCUGCCUUGCCACCCCCAGCCCAGGCCCAGCCAGCACUGUCACGCCACACUCAGGUCCCAGCCAGAACUGCUGCCACCACUGUGGCCACCACAGCUGUCAGCCCGCAGACUAUGGCACAGACUGAGAGGAUGCAACUCGGCAGCCAGAGCAGGGCAACCAUGGCCCACCGCCUGUUUCAUUGCCACCUGGCCAGCCAAAGGCGUUGGCUCUCCCUGUGGAUUACUGCUGUACAAGACACCCUGCUGAUAAGUGGAGGGCCACUGAAAUGGUAGCAGUGGGCCUGACAACACCGUGACUGCUGUGUGUUCAAGUCAAGGCGCUCCUGAGGGUGUGCCUGCUGAUCAUCUCUUCCUUUGGGUAUAACUCUGCUUAAUGUACAGCCUUCUGCUCCUGCCAUGAUAUCACUUUUGGACUCCAGGAACUUUGUUAAGAUCAACCACGACGGUCUCUGAUGUAAGAAUGCCACCGGUCCUCACCAAUAAGACAACAAUUUUACAUGUGCUGCCGUCCUGCCGAUCAGCCUUGCUUCUUUGCCAACUGGACAUUUAACUCCAUGUUUGAACUAACGCUCUCAAAUCCGUGUGCACCAGUAGACACUGUUGGGGUACUGUUGAAAUGUCUGUUCCCAAUAAUGUCUCUGUGUUGUGUCCUUUUCAUGUGUUGCCUGUUAUUGUUAAUCAACAUUUAAGCAAAUUGUGAUCGUGUGAUUAAAUACAUUCUGACCAAUGAGAUGCAAGCAGAAGUAGUAGAAAGUCUACUUUAAAGGAGGGAUUACAUCCACCUUCUUCUUGCCACUUGGAAUGAGGAAGUGUUGGUUGGUACUUGAGCAGCCAUUUUGGGUCCCGAGUGUAAAAGUCACGUUCUGGGAUGAUGGGGCUGGAAAGAGCAAGGGCCCAGAUGACUGGGUGGAGCUGUCAUUCUAGUCUAGCCCACCCAUCUCUGGACUUCCUUCAUUUGUGACAGAGAAAUGUACUUCUGCUUUGUCUAAGCCACUGUACUUUUGGAUUAUCCUGUUACAUGCUCCACAACCAAAUUCUAACCAGUCUAGGGAGGGUAUGGCCCACUGAAGCCUUGUAUAGCCACAACAGAUCAUGGUUGCCUCAGCCAUUGCUGGAAGAAAGUCCUCUGCCUAGAAUUUACUAUAAUCCUGACGGGAAAUCUGAUAAGAAACUUUAUAGCACUCUGGGAGGCUAACACAGGAAGAUCAGUAGUUAAAGCCCUUCUACCAUGAUAUUCCUGCCUUGGAGCCAGCAGACCAUGGACUGAAUCCCCUGAAACCAUGAAUCAAAUUAACCUCGACUCUGUUAAGUUGUAAGUGUCGAGUACUGUGUCCAGCAAUAGGAAAGCUGACUAAUGUGCUGGGCAACUUAGUCUAGCAAGACCCUGUCUCCGAAUUUUGGGGGGGGGGUACGGGGGAUCAAACUUGGGUCCUUGCGCUUGCAGGGCAGGCGGCAAAACCACUGAGCUAAAUCCCCUGCCCCGUCUCAGAAUUUUUAAAGGGCUGGGGAUAUAGCUCAGUGCAAAGACCCUGGGUUCAAUCCCCAGUCCUGCAACAGGAAGAGAGGGGAGAGCAGAUAACAAGCCAGUCUUCCAGAAAGGGACUGUCAGACACAUUUUUUGAAUUUUUUGAACUGAUACAUAAAAAAACUGAUAUUUAUGAGGUGCCAUGUUAUGUCUCUAUACAUUGUAUAUGUAUACCUUGUAUAACAUUCAAGUCAAGAAUAAACGUAUCUACUGUCUACCCCUGGAGUGAUCAUUCCUUUUAAAAAGGCAGACUUUCAAAGUUCAUAGAAAAAUUUGGCAUAGUCCAGAGUAAUUAAAGAUUAACUGUAGGCAUUUAGCAAAGCUCUAAAAAUGGGCAGUGUCUGGACAGCAAAGACACUUCCAGUAAUUUAUCCUAGGAGAACAACCAGAAAUGUGUGAUAAAUAAACAGUCCUUCAUUAUAGCAACACUGGGACCAAAAAAAUUUAAAUAGUGGACAGAUGAGUUAAUGAAUCAUGACACAGCCACAUGAUGGAAACUGUGCAGUCAUUAGAACAUGAAAGGUUCCCCGUGCAAUAGCAGAUUAUACUUCUGUGCAUAGCAAGACACACAAACUGCUUUUGUAAGAAAAACACCACAUAUACACAUAGGACAUAGAUUAGGGGCCUGAGGAUGUGGCUCAGUAGCACCAUGUCUGUCUGGCAAGUGCAAAGUCCUGAGUUCGAUCCCGGGUACCAAAAAAAAGAAGAAAAAGAGGAAGAGCAAGAAAUAAAAACAGAUGAGGAAGCCAGGCAUGGUGGUAUACACCUAUAGUCCCAGCAUGUGGGAAGUUGAGGCAGGAGGAUCACUGAGUUUAAGGCCAGCCUGAACUACAUAGCAAAACCCUGUGAGAGAGAGAGAGAGAGAGAGAGAGAGAGAGAGAGAGAGAGAGAGACCAGGAAUCUGCUCACUAAGUUAUAAUUGUCUCUCAAUCUCCAUGCUAUUUUAUAUUCCCUAAAAUUCCAGCAGUGAUUGUGUACUAUUCUGGGAGGAAAAUAUAAAUAAAAGAAUAAAAUAGGUCUGGAUGGGGAGCUAAAAAAUGAAAGCCUAGUAACUUUUCUGUGACAGAUCCUGCUGUGUAAGAGAGGGUAGCCAGCUAAAGCCACCCAGCUCCUCCCUGUGCAGUGGGUGCGCCAGGCCGGAAGAGAGGAAGCAUGGAGCAGACGGAGGAGGCCCUGCUGCUCCUGGGCGUGGAAAGGGCUU